rnacentral:ncRNA from 1 species
ACAAGAAAAAGCCAAACCCGAUGUGAGUCGGGGACGGAAAGCCCACGGGUCUCAUGGGGAGAUGGCCGGGUUGCUCUU